AGAUUGAACGCUGGCGGCAGGCCUAACACAUGCAAGUCGAGCGGAUGAAGGGAGCUUGCUCCUGGAUUCAGCGGCGGACGGGUGAGUAAUGCCUAGGAAUCUGCCUGGUAGUGGGGGAUAACGUCCGGAAACGGGCGCUAAUACCGCAUACGUCCUGAGGGAGAAAGUGGGGGAUCUUCGGACCUCACGCUAUCAGAUGAGCCUAGGUCGGAUUAGCUAGUUGGUGGGGUAAAGGCCUACCAAGGCGACGAUCCGUAACUGGUCUGAGAGGAUGAUCAGUCACACUGGAACUGAGACACGGUCCAGACUCCUACGGGAGGCAGCAGUGGGGAAUAUUGGACAAUGGGCGAAAGCCUGAUCCAGCCAUGCCGCGUGUGUGAAGAAGGUCUUCGGAUUGUAAAGCACUUUAAGUUGGGAGGAAGGGCAGUAAGUUAAUACCUUGCUGUUUUGACGUUACCAACAGAAUAAGCACCGGCUAACUUCGUGCCAGCAGCCGCGGUAAUACGAAGGGUGCAAGCGUUAAUCGGAAUUACUGGGCGUAAAGCGCGCGUAGGUGGUUCAGCAAGUUGGAUGUGAAAUCCCCGGGCUCAACCUGGGAACUGCAUCCAAAACUACUGAGCUAGAGUACGGUAGAGGGCGGUGGAAUUUCCUGUGUAGCGGUGAAAUGCGUAGAUAUAGGAAGGAACACCAGUGGCGAAGGCGACCACCUGGACUGAUACUGACACUGAGGUGCGAAAGCGUGGGGAGCAAACGAGAUUAGAUACCCUGGUAGUCCACGCCGUAAACGAUGUCGACUAGCCGUUGGGAUCCUUGAGAUCUUAGUGGCGCAGCUAACGCGAUAAGUCGACCGCCUGGGGAGUACGGCCGCAAGGUAAAACUCAAAUGAAUUGACGGGGGCCCGCACAAGCGGUGGAGCAUGUGGUUAAUUUCGAAGCAACGCGAAGAACCUUACCUGGCCUUGACAUGCUGAGAACUUUCCAGAGAUGGAUUGGUGCCUUCGGGAACUCAGACACAGGUGCUGCAUGGCUGUCGUCAGCUCGUGUCGUGAGAUGUUGGGUUAAGUCCCGUAACGAGCGCAACCCUUGUCCUUAGUUACCAGCACCUCGGGUGGGCACUCUAAGGAGACUGCCGGUGACAAACCGGAGGAAGGUGGGGAUGACGUCAAGUCAUCAUGGCCCUUACGGCCAGGGCUACACACGUGCUACAAUGGUCGGUACAAAGGGUUGCCAAGCCGCGAGGUGGAGCUAAUCCCAUAAAACCGAUCGUAGUCCGGAUCGCAGUCUGCAACUCGACUGCGUGAAGUCGGAAUCGCUAGUAAUCGUGAAUCAGAAUGUCACGGUGAAUACGUUCCCGGGCCUUGUACACACCGCCCGUCACACCAUGGGAGUGGGUUGCUCCAGAAGUAGCUAGUCUAACCGCAAGGGGGACGGUUACCACGGAGUGAUUCAUGACUGGGGUGAAGUCGUAACAAGGU
rnacentral:rRNA from 1 species